ACGGGAGGCAGCAGUGAGGAAUAUUGGUCAAUGGGCGGAAGCCUGAACCAGCCAAGUCGCGUGAAGGAUGAAGGUAUUAUGUAUUGUAAACUUCUUUAGCUGUGGAGCAAUAAUCUCCAUGUAUGGAGAGAUGAGAGUACACAGAGAAUAAGGAUCGGCUAACUCCGUGCCAGCAGCCGCGGUAAUACGGAGGAUCCGAGCGUUAUCCGGAUUUAUUGGGUUUAAAGGGUGCGCAGGCGGCUUUCUAAGUCAGUGGUCAAAUCGUGGUGCUCAACGCCAUCCCGCCAUUGAUACUGGAGAGCUUGAUUGCGGUCGAGGUUUGCGGAAUUCGUCGUGUAGCGGUGAAAUGCAUAGAUAUGACGAAGAACACCGAUUGCGUAGGCAGCAGACCAGACAGUAAAUGACGCUCAUGCACGAAAGUGCGGGGAUCGAACAGGAUUAGAUACCCUGGUA
rnacentral:rRNA from 1 species